CCUACGGGAGGCAGCAGUGAGGAAUAUUGGUCAAUGGGCGCAAGCCUGAACCAGCCAAGCCGCGUGAGGGAUGACGGUCCUAUGGAUUGUAAACCUCUUUUGUCGGGGAGAAAGGCACGCUACGUGUGGCGGGAAGGAGGGUACCCGCAGAAAAAGCAUCGGCAAACACAGGGCCAGCAGCCGCGGUAAUCCGGAGGAGGCGAGCGUUAUCCGGCUUUGUCGGGUUAAAAGGUUGCGUAGGAGGUAAGUUAGGUCAGCGGUAAAAGGUCUGUGCUCACCACGGGCCUGCCGUUGAAACUGGUCUUCUUGAGUGAGCGAGAAGUAUGCGGAAUGCGUGGUGUAGCGGUGAAAUGCAUAGAUAUCACGCAGAACACCGAUUGCGAAGGCAGCAUACCGGCGCUCAACUGACGCUGAGGCACGAAAGCGUGGGGAGCGAACAGGAUUAGAUACCCGUGUAGUC
rnacentral:rRNA from 1 species